CGCCUGAAUCCUGGGGGAGGCACAGAAGUCCCCAUCCCGCCCUGCCCCCUGCAGGGGACUUCCUGACAGGCCCCGGCGUGGUUCUCCUAGGAAGAAACCUUAGCCUCAAGAACUUUUCAUCUGGAAGGCACCGGGGAGUAAAUGUGGCUUCCUGUACUUGCCUGUGAGAUGCCAGAUAAGCGGAUCCCCAAGGAGACAUUUUUUCUCCAUCUGAAGACAGAGGAUUUGAUACUUGGAUCUAAAGACUGAGUCCUCAGAAUGCAGAGUUGACAACUGUAGGAUCGAUAUGUACAACGCAGCCUGCACUGCUCACUCCUCCCAGAAGAGCCAGGGAUGUGUUAAAUUGUCCCCAGACCGAAUAGUACCUCACCUAAUUCUAGGAAACUCACUCAUUCUCAAAGUUCUUUUCUGUGGGUCAUCUUGAGGACAGGGCCUAUGGUCCGCCUCUUCCCUGUGGCCUGGCUGCUGUUCAGCACUGUAAGAGGAAGGCUGGCACUCGGACAGGACCUCAAGCCUAGGCCUGUAGAUGCCCAAUGGGGAACUAAAAGCAGGAAGAAGCUAGGCAUCUCUGCCUUCACUUUAUAUCUGCCUCCUUUGUUCCCUUACAACUAUGGGACAGAUCCUUGCUGUACUCUGCUCAUGGACAUUUAAUCACUUAAGGUGUAUCUGUAAUACAACAUUUAUUAGCCCUAAACUUACCAAGCCUCCUCAGACACCAAGAUAAGAGUAAGUAAUAUAAUUUUCAUAACUUAGGGACAUUCAGUUGUCAGCUUUUACAAUGCCCAGUUCCACAGGAUACAUGGGGAGGGAAGAAGGUGGGAAAUACUUUUGUUUUCUUCCCUGGAAUGAUACCUAGGGUUUUCCAGUCACUGUCCUAGACCUGCAGUUAUUGAGGAUUCCAGGAAAAGCAGGGGUUCUCAGACUAUCUCCUGAUGGGGUUACACCCCAAAUGGGUGCCCUUGUAAGCAGAAGCUCUCAUCCCUCCAUGAGAAAAUGAAUUGUCCUCUCGGGAUGAUGGCUCUCCCAGGAUCUUGCAAAACCAGCUCUGAGAUACUGGAUCAACUGGAAUUAACUGGACCAGGAUUCACUAUGCUGCCAGUGAGGCAAAGCUACCAGCUAUGCAAACCUCCAGUUCUUGCCUUUGUUCUCCUUUUGUGGAAAGCCCCACAGCUCCUGAAUCUCUUUAUCUGUGCUCCUCAGCAUGGCUCUUUCCUGCCCCUCACCACUGCUCGGCUUCUUGACUGGCAUUAAGGAACAAGUGCUGAUCUUGCUAUGUUGAGCCCUGUGGAGCUGGGCUUUUGGAGAGUUGUAUGGAAGCCAAACCUUAUGCAGGAGGGCAGCCUGUGAACAAGGAGUCAGAACGGACGACAUCAGGAAAGCUGCAGGAGAGCCCAGUCGGAGGCACCCAUACACUCUGGGUCUUUGGCCAUGACUUCUUCCCUGGGCUGCUGCCAAGGCUCAGGUUUGCCUCUGUGACUCUUAGGAGAGAUCCAUUAAUGAUGCAGGGCUGGCCCAUGAUGUGGCGGUUUUAAGAGUUUAACUCACGAAAGACAACCCUUCCAGGUUCGGGGUGGGGUGAGGUGAGGGUUCUCGUAUCUGCCCCCGCUCCACUUGCCAGCCAAGCUGUUCCCUUAGGACAGCCCGACUUUAUCUCUGUAUCGUGGCUCUAGCUGGAUGAGUGGUGCUUGGCUGGCACACUGCAAAACCACUGAUGAUGUAGGUGAUGAUGGUGAUGACGAUGACAGUGACGAUGAUGACAGGAUCGUGAAGCUGUGAUGGUUGGA